rnacentral:rRNA from 1 species
CCUACGGGAGGCAGCAGUCGAGAAUCAUUCACAAUGGGGGAAACCCUGAUGGUGCGACGCCGCGUGAUCGAGACGCCCUUCGGGGUGUAAAGAUCUGUCAGUGGGGACGACACUUGACGGUACCCACAGAGGAAGCACCGGCUAACUCCGUGCCAGCAGCCGCGGUAAUACGGGGGGUGGACGCGUUGUCCGGAAUAAUUGGGCGUAAAGAGUUCGUAGGCGGCACGUAAAGGCUGGUGUUAAAGGCAGAGGCUCAACUUCUGUACGGCACUUGAUACUUGCGAGCUAGAAUGCGGUAGAGGUAAAGGGAAUUCCUGGUGUAGCGGUGAAAUGCUUAGAUAUCAGGAGGAACAUCGGUGGCGUAAGCGCUUUACUGGGCCGUAAUUGACGCUGAGGAACGAAAGCCAGGGUAGCAAAUGGGAUUAGAUACCCGAGUAGUC